rnacentral:rRNA from 1 species
GGAGUACGAUCGCAAGAUUGACACUCAAAGGAAUUGACGGGGCCCCGCACAAGCAGCGGAGCAUGCGGCUUAAUUCGACGCAACGCGAAGAACCUUACCAAGGCUUGACAUAUAGGGAAAAGUGGCAGAGAUGUCAUGUCCGCAAGGGCUCUAUACAGGUGGUGCAUGGUUGUCGUCAGCUCGUGUCGUGAGAUGUUGGGUUAAGUCCCGCAACGAGCGCAACCCUCGUUCUGUGUUGCCAGCAUUUAGUUGGGGACUCACAGGAGACUGUCGGGGUUAACUCGGAGGAAGGUGGGGAUGACGUCAAAUCAUCAUGCCCCUUAUGUCUUGGGCUGCACGCAUGCUACAAUGGCCGGUACAGAGGGCUGCAAUACCGUAAGGUGGAGCGAAUCCCAAAAAGCCGGUCUCAGUUCGGAUUGAGGUCUGCAACUCGACCUCAUGAAGUUGGAGUUGCUAGUAAUCGUAGAUCAGCAACGCUACGGUGAUACGUUCCCGGGCUUGUACUCACCGCCC